rnacentral:lncRNA from 1 species
UAAACUACCAAGUAUUCAAACUGUUCUACAGAGAUCACAAGUCCAAUGUGCUGGCUGGCCAUCUUAUUCAAAUGACAAAAGUAUAAAAGAUUAUUUUUACCAAGAACUCAACACAAGGCAAGUAUUCACACAGAAGGCAGAAGAAGUGAAGCAAGGACAUUCUCAAAGUCUCUGAAGAACUUUGGUAUCAACUGUGACCUAUAAAAGACAAUGGCAUAGAAUCAUCCUGCAAAAUGUGCCUGCAUCAAAUAAGAUGACGACAUAGACAUAGACAUAUACACAGAGAGACUGGAAAGAGUGAACUAACAACUGGGAGUAUCUAAAAAGGCUUCUUAAAGAAGGAAGUAUUUGAACUGAACCUUGAAGAGAAUUAUCAGGGUUUCCAACCAAGGGUGCAGAAAAUGAGUGAAUAUGUUUUUUUAAAUUGACAGUUUGAAAACACUAUGAGAUAGGACUUAAAUCAUCAAGAUUCUCUCAGUGACAACUUGGGGAAUUGGAGGAUCUGAGUCUGGGAAAACUAAGGGAACCUCUCCUGAUAAGGAAUGCCCUGACCAGAUGUACAGCAGAGACAUGGCUCUGGAUGAGAAGUAACCAGGCUAUCUGAUGAAUGGACAAGGAGAAAACUGGCUAUGAGCACUUUCAGGAGGAUGGCCUUUUUGGUUAGGACUUCCAGGUUAGAAGAAACAAGUGAAGUGAAAUGGGAAAUGCACAGAUUUAGAGAAUCC